rnacentral:rRNA from 1 species
AGGACAAACGCUGGCGGCGUGCAUAACACAUGCAAGUCGAACGAGCCUAGCGAUAGGCGAGUGGCGGACGGGUGAGGAACACGUGGAUGACCGACCUUUUACUGGGGAAUACCCGUGGGAAACCACGGCUAAAUACCGCAUACGUUCGAGAGAAGAAAGCCUUCGGGCGGUAAGAGACGGGUCUGCGGUCGAUUAGCUAGUUGGUGCGGUAACGGCGUACCAAGGCGACGAUCGAUAGCUGGUCUGAGAGGAUGAUCAGCCACAUUGGGAUUGAGAACGGCCCAAAUCCCUACGGGGAGCAGCAGUGAGGAAUAUUCGGCAAUGGGCGCAAGCCUGACCGAGCGACGCCGCGUGGGGAUGACGCAUUUCGGUGUGUAAACCCCUUUCUGUGGGACGAGAAGUGGACGGUACCACGAGGAAUAAGUCUCGGCUAACUACGUGCCAGCAGCCGC